CCUACGGGCGGCAGCAGUGAGGAAUAUUGGUCAAUGGACGAGAGUCUGAACCAGCCAAGUAGCGUGAAGGAUGACUGCCCUAUGGGUUGUAAACUUCUUUUAUAUGGGAAUAAAACGUUCCACGUGUGGGAUUUUGUAUGUACCAUAUGAAUAAGGAUCGGCUAACUCCGUGCCAGCAGCCGCGGUAAUACGGAGGAUCCGAGCGUUAUCCGGAUUUAUUGGGGUUAAAGGGAGCGUAGGUGGAUUGUUAAGUCAGUUGUGAAAGUUUGCGGCUCAACCGUAAAAUUGCAGUUGAAACUGGCAGUCUUGAGUACAGUAGAGGUGGGCGGAAUUCGUGGUGUAGCGGUGAAAUGCUUAGAGAUCACGAAGAACUCCGAUUGCGAAGGCAGUUCACUGGACUGCAACUGACACUGAGGCUCGAAAGUGUGGGUAUCAAACAGGAUUAGAUACCCCUGUAGUC
rnacentral:rRNA from 1 species